GACGAACGCUGGCGGCGUGCCUAAUACAUGCAAGUCGAGCGAGUCUGCCUUGAAGAUCGGAGUGCUUGCACUCUGUGAAACAAGAUACAGGCUAGCGGCGGACGGGUGAGUAACACGUGGGUAACCUGCCCAAGAGAUCGGGAUAACACCUGGAAACAGAUGCUAAUACCGGAUAACAACAGAUGAUGCCUAUCAACUGUUUAAAAGAUGGUUCUGCUAUCACUCUUGGAUGGACCUGCGGUGCAUUAGCUAGUUGGUAGGGUAACGGCCUACCAAGGCGAUGAUGCAUAGCCGAGUUGAGAGACUGAUCGGCCACAUUGGGACUGAGACACGGCCCAAACUCCUACGGGAGGCAGCAGUAGGGAAUCUUCCACAAUGGACGCAAGCCUGAUGGAGCAACGCCGCGUGAGUGAAGAAGGGUUUCGGCUCGUAAAGCUCUGUUGUUGGUGAAGAAGGACAGGGGUAGUAACUGACCUUUGUUUGACGGUAAUCAAUUAGAAAGUCACGGCUAACUAAGUG
rnacentral:rRNA from 1 species